rnacentral:rRNA from 1 species
AGAGUUUGAUCAUGGCUCAGAUUGAACGCUGGCGGAAUGCUUUACACAUGCAAGUCGAACGGCAGCACGGGGCAACCUGGUGGCGAGUGGCGAACGGGUGAGUAAUACAUCGGAACGUGCCCAAUCGUGGGGGAUAACGUAGCGAAAGUUACGCUAAUACCGCAUACGAUCUACGGAUGAAAGCGGGGGAUCGCAAGACCUCGCGCGAAUGGAGCGGCCGAUGUCAGAUUAGGUAGUUGGUGGGGUAAAGGCUCACCAAGCCAACGAUCUGUAGCUGGUCUGAGAGGACGACCAGCCACACUGGAACUGAGACACGGUCCAGACUCCUACGGGAGGCAGCAGUGGGGAAUUUUGGACAAUGGGCGCAAGCCUGAUCCAGCCAUUCCGCGUGCAGGAUGAAGGCCUUCGGGUUGUAAACUGCUUUUGUACGGAACGAAGAGGUCCUGGUUAAUACCUGGGGCUCAUGACGGUACCAUAAGAAUAAGCACCGGCUAACUACGUG